UACGUAGGGUGCGAGCGUUUGUCCGGAAUUAUUGGGCGUAAAGGGCUCGUAGGCGGUUUGUCGCGUCGGGAGUGAAAUCCACUGGCUUAACUGGUGGCUUGCUUUCGAUGCGGGCAGACUGGAGGUAUGCAGGGGGAGAACGGAAUUCCUGGUGUAGCGGUGAAAUGCGCAGAUAUCAGGAGGAACACCGGUGGCGAAGGCGGGGUCUCUGGGGCCCGUAACUGACGCUGAGGAGCGAAAAGCGUGGGGGAGCGAACAGG
rnacentral:rRNA from 1 species